rnacentral:rRNA from 6 species
AAAUUGAAGAGUUUGAUCAUGGCUCAGAUUGAACGCUGGCGGCAGGCCUAACACAUGCAAGUCGAACGGUAACAGGAAGCAGCUUGCUGCUUUGCUGACGAGUGGCGGACGGGUGAGUAAUGUCUGGGAAACUGCCUGAUGGAGGGGGAUAACUACUGGAAACGGUGGCUAAUACCGCAUAAUGUCGCAAGACCAAAGAGGGGGACCUUCGGGCCUCUUGCCAUCAGAUGUGCCCAGAUGGGAUUAGCUUGUUGGUGAGGUAACGGCUCACCAAGGCGACGAUCCCUAGCUGGUCUGAGAGGAUGACCAGCCACACUGGAACUGAGACACGGUCCAGACUCCUACGGGAGGCAGCAGUGGGGAAUAUUGCACAAUGGGCGCAAGCCUGAUGCAGCCAUGCCGCGUGUAUGAAGAAGGCCUUCGGGUUGUAAAGUACUUUCAGCGGGGAGGAAGGUGUUGUGGUUAAUAACCACAGCAAUUGACGUUACCCGCAGAAGAAGCACCGGCUAACUCCGUGCCAGCAGCCGCGGUAAUACGGAGGGUGCAAGCGUUAAUCGGAAUUACUGGGCGUAAAGCGCACGCAGGCGGUCUGUCAAGUCGGAUGUGAAAUCCCCGGGCUCAACCUGGGAACUGCAUUCGAAACUGGCAGGCUUGAGUCUUGUAGAGGGGGGUAGAAUUCCAGGUGUAGCGGUGAAAUGCGUAGAGAUCUGGAGGAAUACCGGUGGCGAAGGCGGCCCCCUGGACAAAGACUGACGCUCAGGUGCGAAAGCGUGGGGAGCAAACAGGAUUAGAUACCCUGGUAGUCCACGCCGUAAACGAUGUCUACUUGGAGGUUGUGCCCUUGAGGCGUGGCUUCCGGAGCUAACGCGUUAAGUAGACCGCCUGGGGAGUACGGCCGCAAGGUUAAAACUCAAAUGAAUUGACGGGGGCCCGCACAAGCGGUGGAGCAUGUGGUUUAAUUCGAUGCAACGCGAAGAACCUUACCUGGUCUUGACAUCCACAGAACUUUCCAGAGAUGGAUUGGUGCCUUCGGGAACUGUGAGACAGGUGCUGCAUGGCUGUCGUCAGCUCGUGUUGUGAAAUGUUGGGUUAAGUCCCGCAACGAGCGCAACCCUUAUCCUUUGUUGCCAGCGGUCCGGCCGGGAACUCAAAGGAGACUGCCAGUGAUAAACUGGAGGAAGGUGGGGAUGACGUCAAGUCAUCAUGGCCCUUACGACCAGGGCUACACACGUGCUACAAUGGCGCAUACAAAGAGAAGCGACCUCGCGAGAGCAAGCGGACCUCAUAAAGUGCGUCGUAGUCCGGAUUGGAGUCUGCAACUCGACUCCAUGAAGUCGGAAUCGCUAGUAAUCGUGGAUCAGAAUGCCACGGUGAAUACGUUCCCGGGCCUUGUACACACCGCCCGUCACACCAUGGGAGUGGGUUGCAAAAGAAGUAGGUAGCUUAACCUUCGGGAGGGCGCUUACCACUUUGUGAUUCAUGACUGGGGUGAAGUCGUAACAAGGUAACCGUAGGGGAACCUGCGGUUGGAUCACCUCCUUA